rnacentral:tRNA from 1 species
GACCUGCUAGCUCAGUCGGUUAGAGCGUCGUGCUAAUAACGCGAAGGUCGUAGGUUUGAUCCCUGCGCAGGCCA